CUGAGCCCUCCCAGAAACCUCCUGGGAAGCCCUGCCCGGGGCUAGCCUACGAGCAGCGGAGGUGCACCGGCCUGCCACCCUGCCCAGUGGCUGGGGGCUGGGGGCCUUGGGGCCCUGUGAGCCCCUGCCCUGUGACCUGUGGCCUGGGCCAGACCAUGGAACAACGGACGUGCAAUCACCCUGUGCCCCAGCAUGGGGGCCCCUUCUGUGCUGGCGAUGCCACCCGGACCCACAUCUGCAACACAGCUGUGCCCUGCCCUGUGGAUGGGGAGUGGGACUCGUGGGGGGAGUGGAGCCCCUGUAUCCGACGGAACAUGAAGUCCAUCAGCUGUCAAGAAAUCCCGGGCCAGCAGUCACGCGGGAGGACCUGCAGGGGCCGCAAGUUUGACGGACAUCGAUGUGCCGGGCAACAGCAGGAUAUCCGGCACUGCUACAGCAUCCAGCACUGCCCCUUGAAAGGAUCAUGGUCAGAGUGGAGUACCUGGGGGCUGUGCAUGCCCCCCUGUGGACCUAAUCCUACCCGUGCCCGCCAGCGCCUCUGCACACCCUUGCUCCCCAAGUACCCGCCCACCGUUUCCAUGGUCGAAGGUCAGGGCGAGAAGAACGUGACCUUCUGGGGGAGACCGCUGCCACGGUGUGAGGAGCUACAAGGGCAGAAGCUGGUGGUGGAGGAGAAACGACCAUGUCUACACGUGCCUGCUUGCAAAGACCCUGAGGAAGAGGAACUCUAACACUUCUCUCCUCCAC
rnacentral:lncRNA from 1 species